rnacentral:rRNA from 1 species
GACGAACCGUGCAAACGUUGUUCGGAAUCACUGGGCUUAAAGGGCGCGUAGGCGGGCCAGCCAGUCUGUGGUGAAAGCCUCCAGCUUAACUGGAGAAGUGCCGUGGAUACUGCUGGCCUCGAGGAGGAUAGGGGCAUCUGGAACGGUCGGUGGAGCGGUGAAAUGCGUAGAGAAUCGGAAAGAACACCAACGGCGAAAGCACUCUGCUGGGCCGACACUGACACUGAGAGACGAAAGCUAGGGGAGCGAAUGGG